UGGGGAAUCUUGCACAAUGGGCGAAAGCCUGAUGCAGCGACGCCGCGUGCGGGAAGAAGGCCCUCGGGUCGUAAACCGCUUUCAGCAGGGACGAGGCCGCGAGGUGACGGUACCUGCAGAAGAAGCCCCGGCUAACUACGUGCCAGCAGCCGCGGUAAUACGUAGGGGGCGAGCGUUAUCCGGAUUCAUUGGGCGUAAAGCGCGCGUAGGCCGCCCGCUUGGUCGGGAGUAAAAUCCGGGGGCUCAACCCCCGCCCGCUCCCGAUACCGGCGGGCUUGAGUCUGGCAGGGGAAGGUGGAAUUCCGAGUGUAGCGGUGGAAUGCGCAGAUAUUCGGAAGAACACCGGUGGCGAAGGCGGCCUUCUGGGCCACGACUGACGCUGAGGCGCGAAAGCUAGGGGAGCGAACAGG
rnacentral:rRNA from 2 species